rnacentral:lncRNA from 1 species
UGAAAUCGUAAAGGAGGUUUCUUCCUACCUCAAGAAGGUAGGAUACAACCCUGACAAAAUCCCCUUUGUCCCCAUCUCUGGUUUCGAGGGUGAUAACAUGAUCGAAAGAUCAACCAACCUUGACUGGUACAAGGGCCCAACUCUUCUUGAGGCUCUUGACCAGAUUAAUGAGCCCAAGAGGCCCUCAGACAAGCCCCUCAGGCUCCCACUUCAGGAUGUCUACAAGAUUGGUGGUAUUGGUACUGUCCCUGUUGGUCGUGUGGAAACCGGUAUCCUCAAGCCUGGUAUGGUUGUGACCUUGAGGCUCUUGACCAGAUCAAUGAGCCCAAGAGGCCCUCAGACAAGCCCCUCAGGCUCCCACUUCAGGAUGUGUACAAGAUUGGUGGUAUUGGUACUGUCCCUGUUGGUCGUGUGGAAACCGGUAUCCUCAAGCCUGGUAUGGUUGUGACUUUUGGUCCCACUGGUUUGACCACUGAAGUUAAAUCUGUUGAGAUGCACCACGAAGCUCUUCAGGAGGCACUUCCUGGUGAUAAUGUUGGAUUCAACGUCAAGAACGUUGCAGUGAAGGAUCUCAAGCGUGGGUUUGUUGCUUCCAACUCCAAGGAUGACCCAGCUAAGGGUGCUGCCAGCUUUACCUCCCAAGUCAUCAUCAUGAACCAUCCAGGACAGAUUGGAAAUGGAUAUGCUCCAGUGCUUGACUGCCACACCUCCCACAUUGCUGUCAAGUUUGCAGAAAUUUUGACCAAGAUUGACAGGCGUUCUGGUAAGGAAAUUGAGAAGGAGCCCAAGUUCUUGAAGAAUGGUGAUGCUGGUAUGGUUAGGAUGCUUCCCACCAAGCCCAUGGUUGUUGAGACCUUCUCUGAGUACCCACCAUUGGGACGUUUUGCUGUGAGGGACAUGCGUCAAACUGUUGCUGUUGGUGUUAUCAAGAACGUUGACAAGAAGGACCCAACUGGUGCCAAGGUCACCAAGGCUGCUCAGAAGAAGAAAUGAACGUUGCAGUUCAAUUCUGGUGGUAUUCGUGAUAUCUACUACAAUAAAGUGUGUUAUGGAGACAUUGUUUUCUCUGCUUGUGAUGUUUUUGUUCUGUCCUUAAUGUGGUUCUUAGGUUGUAGUUUUCUGCUUUGUAUGACUGGUAUCCGCUCCCAGAGUUGGGUGCUUGACAGGCGGUGGCGGGAAUAACUUUGUUGAGUCUGUCUGCAUUUUCUUUUGAGGUACCUUGGUUUUCCAAGGUGGCUUGGAAGUUUUGUUUGUUAUGUUGCUUAAGAUACUUAAUUCGGAACUUAUUUAUUUUUGUGUUGAAUAUGUUUUCUUAUUUCUAUUCUCUGGUAGUUUUAUAUCUUUAGCUUUUUACUGGUACUUGCUUCCUCUUUGAUCUUGGUUUAACUUGUUACCUUCUUUAGAGUAUUCUUGUUAUUUCAACCUGUGCUAGAGGAAAUGGAAAUCCGGGGGAAGUGCUUACUAUGAUAGAUUGGAACUCUAGCCCCAGGUGUUGCUGCUCUCAAUCAAACUUUAGUUCCUUCAUUGAGUAGGGUAUAAUACCGUCAGAUUCAUCCAUUGUAUCGUCUUUUCUUUUGGUAUUGUCUCUCCCGUUUUCUUCUCUCUUCUCCGGAGAUAUGUUCUGGAAAUCUUCAUUGCUAAUAGAAAUUUUUUACUUGGAAUCCGAGAAUGCAAAUUCAGAUAAAUACCUCGCAUAUUUUAUCUGUCUUUCUGUUUAAGGGUUCAAUGUCAGUCAAUUAAAUCUAUGGAUAUGCAUCUGCAGUUUCAGUUAACAGUGUCCCAUAUUCGACCAAUAAACUUAACAUUGAAGCUACCAGUGUUGGUACUGCUCUUGAAGCUACCAG